AUGUUAAUUGGUGGCUGGUGUGUGUGUGUGUGUGUGUUCAGGGUGCAAACAGCGACAGCGAGUAGGCGGCAAGUAUACUGCGCCGAGAAGCGAUACAGGGGCAUGAAGCAAGCGAGCAGGCAUGCGCGGCGACCUUCUACUGCACUAAUAGUAGCCUUGACGGAGCACCAGGGCCGGCUCGACAGGGCAUGCCGCCCGCCGGUAGACGCCUGGUUGUGUGAGACGGAGAUGAACCCUGCGUCGUCGCCUCUGCAGCCUGGACAGAGCUCCGCCGGUGCUGGGGAUGAAUCCUGCGUCUGUGAUGGUGAUGACGCUCUCCAUCUACUUUCUCCAGUGGCUAUAAGGGAGUAA
rnacentral:rRNA from 1 species